rnacentral:rRNA from 1 species
GAUGAACGCUGGCGGCGUGCCUAAUACAUGCAAGUCGAGCGAACAGACGAGGAGCUUGCUCCUCUGACGUUAGCGGCGGACGGGUGAGUAACACGUGGAUAACCUACCUAUAAGACUGGGAUAACUUCGGGAAACCGGAGCUAAUACCGGAUAAUAUAUUGAACCGCAUGGUUCAAUAGUGAAAGACGGUUUUGCUGUCACUUAUAGAUGGAUCCGCGCCGCAUUAGCUAGUUGGUAAGGUAACGGCUUACCAAGGCAACGAUGCGUAGCCGACCUGAGAGGGUGAUCGGCCACACUGGAACUGAGACACGGUCCAGACUCCUACGGGAGGCAGCAGUAGGGAAUCUUCCGCAAUGGGCGAAAGCUUGACGGAGCAAAGCCGCGUGAGUGAUGAAGGUCUUCGGGUCGUAAAACUCUGUUAUUAGGGAAGAAAAAAUGUGUAAGUAACUAUGCACGUCUUGACGGUACCUAAACAGAAAGCCACGGCUAACUACGUG